GACGAACGCUGGCGGCGUGCUUAACACAUGCAAGUCGAACGGAAAGGCCCUGCUUUUGUGGGGUGCUCGAGUGGCGAACGGGUGAGUAACACGUGAGUAACCUGCCCUUGACUUUGGGAUAACUUCAGGAAACUGGUGCUAAUACCGGAUAGGAGCUCCUGCUGCAUGGUGGGGGUUGGAAAGUUUCGGCGGUUGGGGAUGGACUCGCGGCUUAUCAGCUUGUUGGUGGGGUAGUGGCUUACCAAGGCUUUGACGGGUAGCCGGCCUGAGAGGGUGACCGGCCACAUUGGGACUGAGAUACGGCCCAGACUCCUACGGGAGGCAGCAGUGGGGAAUAUUGCACAAUGGGGCGAAGCCUGAUGCAGCAACGCCGCGUGCGGGAUGACGGCCUUCGGGUUGUAAACCGCUUUCGCCUGUGACGAAGCGUGAGUGACGGUAAUGGGUAAAGAAGCACCGGCUAACUACGUG
rnacentral:rRNA from 1 species